rnacentral:rRNA from 1 species
UACGUAGGUGGCAAGCGUUGUCCGGAUUUACUGGGCGUAAAGAGCGCGCAGGCGGUCGUGCAAGUCGCGUGUGAAAGCCCCCGGCUCAACUGGGGAGGGUCACGCGAUACUGCUCGACUCGAAGGCAGGAGAGGGAAGUGGAAUUCCUGGUGUAGCGGUGAAAUGCGUAGAUAUCAGGAGGAACACCUGCGGUGUAGACGGCUUACUGGACGGUAACUGACGCUGAGGCACGAAAGCGUGGGUAGCAAACAGG